UACGGGGGGGGGCAAGCGUUGUUCGGAAUUACUGGGCGUAAAGGGCUCGUAGGCGGCCAACUAAGUCGGAUGUGAAAUCCCCAAGCUUAACUUGGGAACUGCAUCCGAUACUGGAUGGCUUGAAUCCGGGAGAGGGAUGCAGAAUUCCAGGUGUAGCGGUGAAAUGCGUAGAUAUCUGGAGGAAUACCGGUGGCGAAGGCAGCUCGCUGGGACGUGACUGACGCUGAGACGCGAAAGCGUGGGGAGCAAACAGG
rnacentral:rRNA from 1 species